rnacentral:misc_RNA from 1 species
GAAAUGCGAUAAGUAAUGUGAAUUGCAGAAUUCAGUGAAUCAUCGAAUCUUUGAACGCGCAUUGCGCCCGCCAGCACUCUGGCGGGCAUGCCUGUUCGAGCGUCAUUUCAACCCUCAGAACCCCUUGCGGGAUCUGGCGUUGGGGAUUGGCAUCCAGCCAGCCCCGAAAUCUAGUGGCGGUCCCUCCGCGACCUCCCCUGUGCAGUAGCGAUACCUCGCAGCGGGACAGCGGUCUGACCACGCCGUAAAACCCCCAACUUCUCAAGGUUGACCUCGAAUCAGGUAGGAAUACCCGCUGAACUUAAGC